UACCAGCACCCCGAGUGGUCGGGACGAUUAUUGGGCCUAAAGCAUCCGUAGCCGGUCCUACAAGUCUUCCGUUAAAUCCACCUGCUUAACAGAUGGGCUGCGGAAGAUACUAUAGGGCUAGGAGGCGGGAGAGGCAAGCGGUACUCAGUGGGUAGGGGUAAAAUCCUCUGAUCCAUUGAAGACCACCAGCGGCGAAGGCGGCUUGCCAGAACGCGCUCGACGGUGAGGGAUGAAAGCUGGGGGAGCAAACCGGG
rnacentral:rRNA from 1 species